ACUUUCCACUGGAACUUACAACACCGGAGCGACUCUCCCGACGCGGAGAGGCGAUUCUGCCUAUUUGGGGAGACGCUUUUCCCUGCCGC
rnacentral:other from 1 species